rnacentral:rRNA from 1 species
AGUGAACGCUGGCGGCGUGCCUAAUACAUGCAAGUCGAACGAAGUGGCGCACGGGUGAGUAAUAUAUAGUUAAUCUGCCCUACACAGAGGAACAACAGUUGGAAACGGCUGCUAAUACCUCAUAGUGUAGGAUGAGACUAUAUCGUAUCAGCUAGUUGGUAAGGUAAUGGCUUACCAAGGCUAUGACGCGUAACUGGUCUGAGAGGAUAAUCAGUCACAUUGUAAGUGAGACACGGUCCAAACUCCUUCGGAAGGCAGCAGAAAGGAAGAGUGCGCAAUGGGGGAAACCCUGACGCAGCAACGCGUCGUUGAGGAUGUCCCUUUUCGGAGCGUAAACUCCUUUUAUCAGGGAAGCGGUACCUGAUGAAUAAGCACCGGCUAACUCCGUGCCAGCAGCCGCGGUAAUUC